rnacentral:tRNA from 1 species
GAAAAAGUAGCUCAAUCGGUAGAGCAUCUGAUUUGUAAUCAGACGGUAGGGGGUUCGAUUCCCUCCUUUUUCU